rnacentral:tRNA from 1 species
UAGCUCAGUCAGUUCAGCGUGGCGCUGAGAACGCCAAGGUCGUGGGUUCGAUUCCUGU